UAUGCUUUGUAUUUGACAAUUUUUGACAAAAAGGGGGGGAGCAAUGAUGAACAGGUAUUGAACGUAGCAAAGGAGGAGAAGGAAUAAAGAACAAAGAAGAAGAAGGAAUAAAGAACAAAGGGGGAGAAGGAGUAAGAUUUCGAGGAGAAGAAGGAAUGAAAUUUUGAGAACAAUGAAUGUAAGAUUGUCCAAUGGUCUCAACUUUCUAUAUCAUUUUGGAUAAAUUGUUUUUGUAAUACACUGAACUUUUGCAAUUUGCGGAGUUCGAGUGUGUGGAAUGAUAUGUGGAACUAU
rnacentral:lncRNA from 1 species